GGCUCCGGCGCAAAGAGAGGCCCAAGUGAGAUUAGCUAGUUGGUGAGGUAAGAGCUCACCAAGGCGACGAUCUCUAGCUGUUCUGAGAGGAAGAUCAGCCACACUGGGACUGAGACACGGCCCAGACUCCUACGGGAGGCAGCAGUGGGGAAUAUUGCACAAUGGGGGAAACCCUGAUGCAGCCAUGCCGCGUGUGUGAAGAAGGCCUUCGGGUUGUAAAGCACUUUCAGUUGUGAGGAAAAGUUAGUAGUUAAUACCUGCUAGCCGUGACGUUAACAACAGAAGAAGCACCGGCUAACUCCGUGCCAGCAGCCGCGGUAAUACGGAGGGUGCGAGCGUUAAUCGGAAUUACUGGGCGUAAAGCGCACGCAGGCGGUUUGUUAAGCUAGAUGUGAAAGCCCCGAGCUCAACUUGGGAUGGUCAUUUAGAACUGGCAGACUAGAGUCUUGGAGAGGGGAGUGGAAUUCCAGGUGUAGCGGUGAAAUGCGUAGAUAUCUGGAGGAACAUCAGUGGCGAAGGCGACUCCCUGGCCAAAGACUGACGCUCAUGUGCGAAAGUGUGGGUAGCGAACAGGAUUAGAUACCCUGGUAGUCCACACCGUAAACGCUGUCUACUAGCUGUGUGUGCCUUUAAGGCUGUGCGUAGCGAAGCUAACGCGAUAAGUAGACCGCCUGGGGAGUACGGCCGCAAGGUUAAAACUCAAAUGAAUUGACGGGGGCCCGCACAAGCGGUGGAGCAUGUGGUUUAAUUCGAUGCAACGCGAAGAACCUUACCUACACUUGACAUGCAGAGAACUUUCCAGAGAUGGAUUGGUGCCUUCGGGAACUCUGACACAGGUGCU
rnacentral:rRNA from 1 species